rnacentral:lncRNA from 1 species
CAUGGUACAACGUUGAUUCUCUACUCAUACCAAUGCGUUCAUUUAUACUGGUGAAAAAGGUUAAAAUCAGUAUCUUACAGGGUAAUAUCAUAUCACAUAAUUCAAGGUAGCAAGAGUUUGGCGAUCUCACAAUUUUAUAUUUGGAUAUUCUUAUGUUUAAUGUUUUUUAAAACGUACAAGUGUACAAUUAAAAAAAUCCAACUAAAACUAGGCAAAAAAAAUAAAUAAUAACCAACAAAUAAAUGAACGGGCUUUUAAGGUGCAUAUACAAAUAAAACAGUUGAGCUCACAGUUUAAUCGAAUUGUUUACAUGCUAUAUACAUUUUCUUUGAUGAAAUUGUAUUCACGAUUUCUGCUGUAACAGUCAAAAGAUAAAAGCGUUUUAGAUAACUGGAUGAAAAUAACUAAACGCAUCAUAGAUACCCAGUCUUAAAAUGUCCCCUGAUA